rnacentral:rRNA from 1 species
GACGAACGCUGGCGGCGUGCUUAACACAUGCAAGUCGAACGGUAAGGCCCUUCGGGGUACACGAGUGGCGAACGGGUGAGUAACACGUGGGUGAUCUGCCCUGCACUCUGGGAUAAGCCUGGGAAACUGGGUCUAAUACCGGAUAUGAGCUCCUGUCGCAUGGCGGGGGUUGGAAAGGUUUACUGGUGCAGGAUGGGCCCGCGGCCUAUCAGCUUGUUGGUGGGGUAAUGGCCUACCAAGGCGACGACGGGUAGCCGGCCUGAGAGGGCGACCGGCCACACUGGGACUGAGACACGGCCCAGACUCCUACGGGAGGCAGCAGUGGGGAAUAUUGCACAAUGGGCGAAAGCCUGAUGCAGCGACGCCGCGUGAGGGAUGACGGCCUUCGGGUUGUAAACCUCUUUCAGCAGGGACGAAGCGAGAGUGACGGUACCUGCAGAAGAAGCACCGGCCAACUACGUGCCAGCCGCCGCAGUAA